rnacentral:rRNA from 1 species
AAGCGCGCGUAGGUGGUUUGUUAAGUUGGAUGUGAAAGCCCCCGGGCUCAACCUGGGAACUGCAUCCAAAACUGGCAAGCUAGAGUAUGGUAGAGGGUGGUGGAAUUUCCUGUGUAGCGGUGAAAUGCGUAGAUAUAGGAAGGAACACCAGUGGCGAAGGCGACCACCUGGACUGAUACUGACACUGAGGUGCGAAAGCGUGGGGAGCAAACAGGAUUAGAUACCCCAGU